rnacentral:rRNA from 1 species
AAGGUAGCAUAAUCACUUGUCUUUUAAUUAAGGACUGGAAUGAAAGAGGCGACGAGAUUUAGACUAUUUAAUUUUAAGAAUAAAAUUGACAUAAAGGUCAAAAGGCUUUUAUACGCCAAGGGGACGAUAAGACCCUAUAAAACUUUACUUAAAAUAAGAUAUUACUUAGGUUAAUUUCUAAUUAGAGUUUGGCUGGGGCGGUCUAGAUAAAACCAAUUUUAAACUUAAUAUUUAAAAUAAAAACAGAGAGCUCUAUUAAGAAAUGAACAAGUUACUUUAGGGAUAACAGCAUAAUUUUCCUAGAGAGUCCUUAUUGGCAGGAGAGUUUGUGACCUCGAUGUUGAAUUGGGGUGUCUGGUAUAAGUAGAGAUAUAUUAAGAGG